CCUACGGGAGGCAGCAGCAAGGAAUUUUCCCCAAUGGGCGCAAGCCUGAGGGAGCAACGCCGCGUGGAGGACGACGGCCUUCGGGUUGUAAACUCCUUUUGGGGGGGAAGAUGGUGACGGUACCCUCCGAAUCAGCCCCGGCUAACUCUGUGCCAGCAGCCGCGGUAAUACAGAGGGGGCAAGCGUUGUCCGGACUGACUGGGCGUAAAGCGCGCGCAGGCGGUCUGAGGCGUCGGUGCUUAAAGUCCACCGCUUAACGGUGGGAAAGGUGCCGAUACGCUCAGACUGGAGGGCGGGCGAGGGUGGUGGAAUUGCCGGUGUAGUGGUGAAAUGCGUAGAGAUCGGCAGGAACACCAGUGGCGAAGGCGGCCACCUAGCCCGCACCUGACGCUGAGGCGCGACAGCGUGGGGAGCGAACUGGAUUAGAUACCCUAGUAGUC
rnacentral:rRNA from 1 species